AAACAUCAUUAAGGAUGUCAAAUCUGACGAUUGAAAAUGUCAUCAUAUAGGAGAAAACGUAAACAAAGAAUGAAUGUAAAAAGAGAACAAGUUGACAUCCUCAAUGCCAAGUACUGCCAAAUAUUAAAAAAAAAGUAUAUCGGCUGAUCGCUUGGCUUAACCUUAUUCAGUGAAUCCUGACUUUGCUAUUGGAACGCUAAUUAUCCACCCCAUGUCCACCACACCAAAGAGUCAUGCAUUUGACACAUGUGAUAUGUGGUCACUGGCUAUAAUCGAGACACACGUGUAAGAAUUUGGAAUUAGUCCCAGCCCAAUUGAAAUUGAACCAGAACUACCCUGGUCUACACAGAAGGUUAAAGGCAUUCACUUGGUAGCUAUUUUAGCGCUAUAAUAACCUAGUGAAAACUAUUUAAACCUGCCAUUUGGUGGUUUUGUGGGUAAAGCCUCUGGCGCCGUUAUGGUUUUUGAAAAUUAGUUUUUCUUGCUUGACACUCCAAAAUUGAUAAACUUCUUUCUGUUUGCUCUGAUUGGUCUAAGCUAAUUUGCCGAAAACUUUAAGUCACGGCAAAAAGAAUUUUCUUCGCCCUGUUUACAAAUUUUGACAUAUCCUAUUCCCAAAAACGAUGCUUUGUUGUAGCAAUUCGCCGAUGUAUAUAUAUAUAUAAAUACGCCUUGAUGUAUAUAAGUUUCAUUCUGUACAAAGCUAAUGAAGUGAUAGUUCACGCAUUUUCGAAGAACUUUGCGCUCGAAGACUUCAAGUUCAUUGGCAACAGUUGGGGAAAUGGAGAACCAAAUAGGGCAUCCGUACAUUGAAAUAGAUCUGACGGCUGCUUUGUAAAGCAACAGUUUUGUAAUUUGAGUGUGUCUUGCGAGUGUGUUAAAUUUAAACAGUUGGUUGAAAUGUUUCCCAAGGUAUUUGAUGGACAAUUUUAUUGGGAUGUUGAUCCUAUCAAGUGAAAGCCACAAGUAUUUUCUUUCAGAAACUGUUGAUGACUCUGAGAUGUGUGCUUGCCGUAUUUAAUAUCUGAGUAGGAGAUGAAUAGUGAAAGUAGAUCUUGCAGUCGUCAGCGUAGAGAAUAGUCUGGGAAUACCCAUAAGUGUGCACACUAAACACAAGAGGACACAUGCUACUCGCCUAUGUCGACGACAUCGAUAUCAUAGGUCGGUCACCGGAAGUAGUUACUGCAGCCUUUGAAGAAUCAAAAGAGAGUCAGUGAAAAUGAGUCUGGCAGUAAAUGGAGAUAAGACGAAAUGGAUGGUUUCAACUCCCAAAAAGCCUUACACAACCGAGCAGAUAAAGAAAAUGGAGAAUGUUGGGAACCACAACUUUGAGACAGUCAGUAAUUCUAUCUACAAGGCCACCUCACGACAGAAGAAGAUUACACUAUACAAGACACUGAUACUACCCGUGCUGUUAUAUGGUUCUGAAGCAUGGGUACUUGUAAAUGCAGAUGAGGCAGUGCUUCAGUAUUUGAGAGAAAGAUUCUUCGUAAAAUAUAUGGACCAGUUUGCGUUAAUGGAGAAUAUAGGCGACGUAUGAACCACGAGCUGUAUGAGCUGUACGACGACGAUAGCAUAGUUACACGCAUCAGAAUAAAACGGCUGCGUUGGUUAGGCCAUUUUGUCAGAACGGAUGAAGAAGCUCCAGCAAAGAAGUCUUUUGAAGGCAAACACGGUGGUACACGCAAACCGAGAAGACCAAAAGCGCAAUGAAAAGAUCAAGUGGUGGGAGACACCUCGAAACUUGGUG